UACGGAGGGUGCAAGCGUUAAUCGGAAUUACUGGGCGUAAAGCGCACGCAGGUGGCUGAGUCAGUCGAUUGUGAAAGCCCUGGGCUUAACCUGGGAAUUGCAGUCGAUACUACUCGGCUCGAGUAUGGGAGAGGGCAGUGGAAUUCCCGGUGUAGCGGUGAAAUGCGCAGAUAUCAGGAGGAACACCUAUUGCGAAGGCAGCUCGCUGGGACGUUACUGACGCUGAGACGCGAAAGCGUGGGGAGCAAACAGG
rnacentral:rRNA from 1 species